rnacentral:rRNA from 1 species
UACGGAAGGGGCAAGCGUUGUUCGGAAUCAUUGGGCGUAAAGGGCGCGUAGGUGGUUCUGUAUGUCUACCGUGAAAGCGUACGGCUCAACUGUAUUUUGUCGCUGGAAACUGCAGGACUUGAGGCUGGGAGGGGCUGGUGGAAUUCCCUGUGUAGCGGUGAAAUGCGUAGAGAUGGGGGAGAACACUCGUGGCGAAGGCGGCCAGCUAGACCAGUUCUGACACUGAGGCGCGACAGCGUGGGGAGCAAACAGG